rnacentral:lncRNA from 1 species
CCUUAAAAAUUAUCAUGAUUCUUCAAUUUAUAUUUUUCCUAAUAAUAUGCACUCCUUGCUAUAUUAUCUAAAGAGGUGAUAAGAUUCAUAAAGACAACUAUCAACUUCAAAUUAUCAAACAGAAGAAAUACAACUGCAACAGUUACAUCUACACAAAACCAAACAAACUAUAUGUAAUUAUAACUGCUACAUUUUUAACUGCAUGUAUUUUUAACUACACUGCAUUUACAACUACAUCCAACCAAACGGCUCCUUAAAGAACAUGCACACAAUUAAUGUAAACGUUAAUAUCCACUCUUACGAUAAAUCAGGGUAUGCCCUAAUAACAGUUAGUAUCACUCGUAUAAAAGAUCUUGAGUCCAAAUUAAUUAACUCGGGCACCGUAUGUGUGUAGAAUUGAGCUUCUAUGCUUUUAAAAAGUGUCAAGUCAUUGGUACUUGUAAGUUUUCGGCUCUUUGAUUAAGGGACGUGUGGUUAGGAUGAUGUGGACCCCCUAAGGUUGAGUGGGUGGUUGGUUGAAUACUAUAAUCUAACGGGUAAAAAUGAUCAAAGACGUAGAUCUAACGGUAAAAAAUUUACAAGCACUAAGUGCUUGGUACUUUUACAAGCACCAUAACAGGACUAUAUAUAUAUAUAUAUAUAUAUAUAAUCAACCUAAUCAU